GCGACCGUGGCGGAAUCGGCAGACGCGCACGUUUGAGGGGCGUGUGGGAUAUCCCGUGGUGGUUCAAGUCCACUCGGUCGCA
rnacentral:tRNA from 1 species